ensembl:lncRNA
CAGAGUACUAGGGAAGGGGAGCUGUGCAGAAAAGAAGCACCAAAAAUCUGCAUAGGGGUACUCUUAAGUCUGACUGAAUACUGAGCUGUACAUAAGCAAGGCAAGACUUCUUGGGGCGCGGCAGAAAACAGCCACUGGAGGUCACAUACUGCUGGGAGCCAUCAGAGUUCAAAUCAGCCAGCGUGCGAAGGUCUAACUCAACAACCCAAGCAUGCGGUAAAGGUCACAGGUUAGGGGUAAGGCUACUGUACCUCUAAAGUAAAGACAACUCUUGACCUAUCCUAAAAUUGAGCCUUGACAGGAUCAAGCUAUCCUGUCAGUACUACAGCUACCUGCCAGAACAAAACUCAGUACUUGUACAGGAAGACAGCAAAUUCCUGUUGUCAACAGUGUAGUAUCCACAAUAUCCACUAUAGAGUAAGCCAGUAUUAUAUAGGCUAAGCAGGAAAAUGUGACCCUUAACCAGGGGAGAAAGUCAUUCAUAGAAACAGGCCCAGAGGAGACCCACAUAUUUGAAUUAGCAGAUAAAAACUUUAACAACGAUUAUAAACAUGUUCAAGGGUUUUUAAGUAAAAAUAAUAGCAUAAUAGGAAAGGAGACAGUAAUUACAGACAGAAAAAUGAAAACUAUAAAAACCAAAUGAGAAUUUUAGAAUUGAAAAAUACAAUACUUGAAAUAAAAAUUCAUUCUAUGAACCUAAUAGAAGAUUGGAGACAGAAGAAAUGAUCAGUAAACUUAGAGGCAGGGAAAUACAAGCUAUCCAAACUGAUGCACAAAGAGGAAAAACUACCAAGGAAAAGAAAAUAAUUGCGCCUCAGUGAACUACGGAACCAUACAAAACAGACUGCGUAAAUGUAACUGGAGACCAACAAGAGGGGAAGAGGAUGGGAGAGUAAAAGAAAAAUUGAAAAAGUACUCACCAAAAUUCUUCCCAAAUUUGAAGAAAUGUAUAAGUCAGAGUUUCAAGAAGUUUAACCACAAACACACUCACAUCUGUUCAUAUCCUAGUUAAAUGGCUAGAAAGCAAAAAAAAAAACUAAAAUUUUUUUUCAGAGACAAAAGAUAUAUACAAGGGUAAUGAUGUUUAUUCCCCAGUAACAAUGGAGAACAGAAGAUAAUUGUAUAACAUCUUUAAAGAGUGGAAAGAAAAAAGUGUCAAACUAGAAUAGUAUAUUCAGUAAAACAGCCUUUUAAAAUAAUGGUUAUAUAAAGAUAUUCCAAUAAAUAUUGUCAGAAUGUAACCAGCGGACCUGCACACAAGAAAAGUUAAAAGAACUUCUUUAGGCAGUUGGGGAAUGAAACUAGCCAGAGAUUUUGAUGUAUACAAAAUAAUAAAGUUCACCACAUAAAUGAUAAAUGUUUAGUAAAAUAUACAGUGUUUUCCCUUACAUGUAUAAAAAGGCAAUUGAGACCAGGCGUGGUGGCUCACACCUGUAAUCCCAGCACUUUGGGGGACCGAGGUGGUGGAUCACCUGAGGUCAGGAAUUCAAAACCAGCCUGGACAACAUGGUGAAACCCCAUCUCUACAAAAGUACAAAAAUUAGCCAGGCGUGGUGGUACGUGCCUCUAAUCCCAGCUACUCAGGAGGCCAAGGCACAAGAAUCACCUCACUGAGGUGGAGGUUGCAGUGAGCUGAGAUCUCACCAUUGCACUGCAGCCUGAGAGCAAGACUCUGUCUCCAAAAAAAAAAAAAAAAAAAA